rnacentral:rRNA from 1 species
UAGAUGUAUGUCUAGGAAUGAUCCUUCUGCGUAACACUUGCCGAAGCCUUAGCAGCCUGAAAGGGUGCACUCCAACGACUAUAAUCUCUGAGAGUGCUUGAAUGCUAGUCUACGAAAGUAGGCGACACUAUCAAAUUGCGGGAACACCCUAAAGACCUCAACACCAAGCAUCACUGGAAACAGUGGUGUGGCCGAGCUAACAGCCCUGGGUAUGGUAAAAGUUUGAGGUAUGAAGCCCUUGUUAUAGGGGGCGGAAAUGGGCAAUCUGCAGCCAAGUCCUAAGGCGUGUUUGCACGCUAUGGAUGCUGUUCACAGGCCAAAUGGUAGUGGGUGACCUCCCUAACAAAGAGGUUGCUUAAGAUAUGGUCGGGCCCUUAUGGAAACAUAAGGGAUAAGUUUACGAUAAACUAUUGAAACCGUUCCGUAGGUGAACCUGCGGAAGGAUCAUUA